rnacentral:rRNA from 1 species
GAUGAACGCUGGCGGCGUGCCUAAUACAUGCAAGUAGAACGCUGAAGGAGGAGCUUGCUCUUCUGGAUGAGUUGCGAACGGGUGAGUAACGCGUAGGUAACCUGCCUGGUAGCGAGGGAUAAUUUUUGGAAACGAUAGCUACUACCGCAUGACAACAGUUAUUUCAUGAUUUCCGUUUAAAAGGUGCACCUGCUUCACUACUACAUGGACCUGCGUUGUAUUCGCUAGCAGUUGAGGUAACGGCUAACAAAGGCGACGAUACAUAGCCGACCUGUGAGGGAGAGCGGCCACACUGGGAUGAGGACACGGCCCAGACUCCUGCGGGAGGCAGCAGGAGGGAAUCUUCGGCAAGGGAAGGAAGGCUGAACGAGCAACGCCGCAUGAGAGUAGGAGGAUUUCGGAUCGCAAAGCUCUGGUAUAAAAGAAGAACGAGUGUGGGAGUGGAAAGUGCACACUGGGACGGUAUCUUACCAGAAAGGGACGGCUAAAUACGUG